rnacentral:lncRNA from 1 species
GGAGAAAUAUUUGGCAAAGAGGAAUCCAAGAACCGUGUUUGUAUAUUUUUUCCACCACUGCUGGGAAGCCAAUCCUGAGAACAUGUCUUAAGCAGGCCAGAGAAAACUGUUUGCCAAAAUGAUCCCAGCCAGAAGAGUAAAAGCUCAGCCAGGUAAAAAGAAAGAAUGUCUGUAGCAUUUGUUUCUUUCUUUACUGCCGUUACAUUAUCACACAGAGGGAAUGUAAAAGGAUCCAUGCUGGCUGAAGUUGUCUAGAUGAGUGUUGGCCAAGGUGUUUAGAAAACAGUGAUUACGGAAGGUUUCUGCUUGAGAUGAGAUUAAAAAAGAAAAAAAAGAUUUUAAUUUUUCCAUAAAGGACUAAGGUACUUGCAGCAGUAGAGAGCUUUGCUGUUUAGUGCAGUACCUAGUAAGAAUGGUUCAGAGGAAAGAGGAAAGAAAAGUAAAUACUGGAGCCACAGGGGUUAGGCGAGGUAAAGGAGAGAAGAGAAACGACAGAAGCAGAGAGCAGAUUGCACAUCUACCAGUUAGUUAAGGAUUUGAAUUUUGCCUUCACGCCUGAUCUACUUUGGGAAACUUCAGUGUUCAUUCAUUUCAGCAUUUUUUAAGGCAAAAAGUAUCAGUUUUUUAUUCAUUACAGAAAUACAAAGUCAUUUCCUUAUGCCUAAUUUUCAAACAAAGUUUGCUAAUUUUAAACUAUUAAAAGAUCUGAUAGGAAGAAAGAUCUACCUGAUGUAAUCCUGUUGGGAGGUCUUACAUUGCACUCUUACUUAAAUUCUAUUGAAGGGAUGUCUAGAAACAGUCUCAGUAUCAAAGGCCGGUGAGAAAUCUUCAUUCACACCUAUGGUUACCCCCAGAAAUGCUAUGGAAGAGCAAACUACUGAAAAAGACCUUAGAAUACUUGCAGUUAAUGUCUGCAACUGGAUUUUUUUUUUAAAAAAUGAAGAGCCAAAGGUCUCUAAACUGAAUAGUAAGUCAUUUUAUUUGACUUUUUAAUAUUUUGUCUUGGAAUGUUUUCAAAAUCAAGCCUUAUACCAUAUUGUCAAGAGGAGAUAAUAGGAGCCCCUGCAAAUGUCAAGGAAAAGGUCACGGCUGAUAUAUCCGUCUCCAGGUUUGGCUAGCAAGAAAUUUUGUCAUUUUCUUGUCCCCAACUUACUUUUCCCCUUCCUCUCCUAGGUUAGUUUAAAGAUAGGAUACCAGAUCUGGCUCCUGGUUGGUCACAAUAUGCUGCUGUUUUAUUUUGGGUAUAUUCUCAUAUUCUUCGUACAGUUACUUGCCAGUAGAUCUGGCUCACCAAGCUAUAAACUUGGUUUCUUUUUCUGUGUGUUGUCAUUGUUAUUUGUUUGUUUUGCUCCAACUCUAACUUUUGGAAAUUUGCCUUCUAUAAUAGUAGCUGCUCAGCAGUUGUUUGCUGAAAGAAAUGAGUAAAUUGUCUCCUUAAUCAUUCUAUGCAGCAAGUCCAAACACGCUAAAAUAUGGCAAGAAUGUGGGCCAUGCUGAAAUUUCAUGUGCAGGAUCCUCAAAGUCAAGUAGUAUCUGGGCAAGCAUUCUGGGCAUUCUUAAAAACCAAGUAAAAAGGUUAAAAUUUAAAAUUUCAAUGUUGCCCAUGCCCUAAUCUGCUUAGAUGCUCUUUGGAAGAAAUAAACGGUACAGUUGUAGCAUUUACUAUGUGAAGAAAGGGAGUGUUCCAUUCCAUUCAUUCUUCAAACUCUGAGCAAUGAAGCAAGGUGAGAAAAUAUAUUUAUCCUUUAAUGAUCUUAUAUUCAUGGCUGGCUAGAAGGGUGGGAAAUGCAGCUUUGACAACCAUACUACAAAGCAACUACCUCUCAGGCUAUGCAGGUUGCACCAUUUAAUUUUCUGUGCAGAUGGCUGACUGACAUAGGAAGUAGAUUCGAAGUAAGGGACAAGGAAGGCUGGGCACUUUAAUGACUCUGCCUCCCAGUGGGAUUUGCAGUUGGAAGUGAUGGAUGUGAGGAGUGAGCCCUUAACCCCACCAAGGCUUUUGUGUCACAGGCUACCUCAUGAGCCUUCUGCUGCCUUUUUCCUGCACGUUUUCCAGGGUCAGGUUAGGGCUUUCUUUGUUCAUCUUGAUGAUUUCUUUCUCUGGUAUUUGUUGUCUCUCAGGUGAGCUGCAUCUGUUCCAUUUAUUCCAAUUCACUGUGACGAUGACAUUCUUUUUCCCAAGCGAUUCACAGUGUGAUUAUUAUACUGGCUUUUCAAAACUCACUUCAUAGUACCCUUCUUAUUUUCAACUUGCUUGUUAAGGGCCUUUGAAAUUGGCUAAUUUCCUAGGCUGCCACUGAUUUGGAAUUUUUCUAGAAACAUCUGCCAGUAUAGAAUGUUUUAUGGUAAGUGUUUAUCUAUUUAAAUAGCAGAACUCAAGACUCCAAGAAAGUCAUGGAGUUUAAAACAAAUUUACUUUCAAUAUUUUGAUUAAACUAUAUUUUGAACCUAAGAGUUGACACUUUGUAAUAAAUGGACAGUUGCAGCCUUAUUUUUGAAAGAUGACACAUAAAAUAUUCUGAGACAUUGGCAUGCAAUCAUAGGGACAAUCAAUACUAAUGAUUACUCACAGUUGAAACUGCUAGUGGUAAACCUCAAUAAUUUUGCUUUAAACAGCCUCAUUCUAUGACUUCCAUUAUUCAAGACCCAUUUUGUUCCCUACCAAUCAUGUUUGAAAUGUGCUGUAAUAGUAACUUUUCAUUGAUGCAACUCUAAAAGAACCACUUAAAGGAAGAAGAAUUUAUUUUAUUCUUGAAUUCGGUGAUUUCAAUUCAUGGUUGCCUGGCUCUACUGUUUUUAAACAUGUGGCAAGGCAGGAGGGUCAUGGCAUGAGGACAUGGCAGAGGGAAGCUAUUGUCUUCUACUAGCAAGGAAGCCAAGAGAGAAAGGGACCAGAGACUGGAAUGCUAUAUGUGUCUUAGUUCCUCCAAUCAGCCACAUCUCUGAACAUUUCCACCACAUCCCUAUAAUGUCACUUAAUAGGUCCAUCCAUCCAUGAAGUUGUGGUUCAUGUGAUUUCCCAAAAGCUCAACUUCUGUGGAACAGAGGCCAAUUCUUCAGCACAUGUGCCUUAAGACACACUUUUUAUCCAAGGUAUAACAUAUAUAACACGGAUUUGUCACUUAAUUUUGCCUGUCUCUUGACAUUUUUUUGUGGUUAGAAUACACAAACACACACACACACUACACAGCUCCUAACAUAAGAUCAACUCUUGAGUGACCCUGUUUUUACUCAGCCCUGAUUAUAAGCUUACCUUCCUCUCCAGCCAGUUUUUAAAGAUAAAACUGCCUUCUGUUUUCCCAGUAGUUCCUGGUAUUAAAUACAUCAUGUUUUUGUUUGUUUGUUGUUACAGCAAGUAGGCAUUUGGGUAUUCGUAGGGGAUUAGCUGAAUCAAAAGUUAAACCCUAUUUGUGAAGAUAGAUGUGUUAUAAGAAUUUGUCUGAGGAGCAUAUGAUCCUUGUUGGACUUAUUGCUAUUAUAAUGACUAAAACAGACCUGGAAAAUCCUCUGGCCAUCAAAGCUAUUUGCUGAGAAGCCAAGGCAUGCAAGAGGAAGCCUGGAGAAGCAUGGUAUUUCAAGAGGUAAUUUUUGUGGAGGCUUCAUUCUCGUUAUUUGUAGGAGACACUUUGCUCCUAAUAACCAUCCUUCAUUUUAAAAGUACCAUCCAACCCCCAAGUCGUACACAAUUGUGUGCUGUGCCCUUGAACAAAAACAAAACGAGGUCCUAGUCCUUGUUCUACUCCUGGGAGUAAGUUUAAAAUUACCACCACAGUGAACCCAUUUUUCAAGUAAAAAAACCAAUGAAGAAAACUGGCUUGGCUUCUCCUAGUUAACUAAAGGAAACCUUGAUCAUUGCUCACUUGUUAUACUUUUUCUUUUAGCAAAGAUCUUCCACUUCUGUGGUAAUUGAGUAGUUUAUUUCUCAUCAGUCAACAUAGUGAGAUGGAAGCCUGCUAUAUUAAAAAGACCAACUUAACUUAGUUGUAUAGUCUUACGUUAAUUGCUUAACUUGUUUAAAUUUUAGGGACUCAUCUAAAAUAUGGAAUUCUAGAAAAGGACACACACACACACACACACACACACACACACACAAGGC